CAUAGAGCACUCCAGUUUCGAGUAAUCAUUGGACUGAAAGUCUCACACAGAUCACUAGAUGUAGACAAACAUAUGGGAGGCCCUCUGUGACCAGUAAAAUACUGAGGAUUAUUCUGAUAGACGGUAGAGGGCACAACAGAAUUGGUCCAUCCAGUAGCAUCCGAUCAAGCACACUGACGGCUUCAUUGGCACAUAUAUUAUGGCCGAUAGAUUGAUAAAAAUUCUAUCUUUAAAUUAAUUUCAUAUUGAAUUAAUCAUAUAUAUAUUUUAAUUAAUUUAAUUUAAUUAUUUAUUUAUUAUAGACAUGGCAGCUAGAUCAUGCAUCAGGAUAGC
rnacentral:lncRNA from 1 species